UACGUAGGGUGCAAGCGUUUGUCCGGAAUUAUUGGGCGUAAAGAGCUCGUAGGCGGUUUGUCGCGUCUGCUGUGAAAACCGGAGGCUCAACCUCCGGCCUGCAGUGGGUACGGGCAGACUAGAGUGCGGUAGGGGAGAUUGGAAUUCCUGGUGUAGCGGUGAAAUGCGCAGAUAUCAGGAGGAACACCGAUGGCGAAGGCAGGUCUCUGGGCCACUACUGACGCUGAGAAGCGAAAGCAUGGGGAGCGAACAGG
rnacentral:rRNA from 1 species